GCCUCUGUAGCUCAGCUGGUACUUCGUGCAAACGAAGGUUUACGCGCAGCAGAAAAGAGCGUUACCUUGGUAAGGUAAAGGUCCCGAGUUCAAAUCUCGGCAGAGGCU
rnacentral:tRNA from 1 species